ensembl:lncRNA
UCAACUGCGGUGUGGACAUGAAUCUAGGGUUUUGGUCAAAUUGAUUAGAAAAUUCACAGAUGUUGGUGUGAUGUAUCACUAAAAACAUUCAAACAAGUAGGCCAUAUUACUUUUUCUAUUAUUCAUGGCAUUGGUAUGGUAACUUUUAAUAUCAUUGGGAUGUUUUAUGAACACUCUGAUGCAUAUAGUGAUCGUCUUUGAUAUCCCUGCACAGUCCUUCAAUUAAAUGCAUUGUAUGCGUUCGUUUGAAAGGUUUUGGAGCUCUACGCCAACCAGGUUUCCAGCCUUAAAGGUCUUAGCAGCCAGCCUCUACCCUGCCUUCAGCAUCUGGGUCUGGGCUGCAACAGGCUGGGUUCCCCUGCAGACAUCCAGUACCUCACUGGAACUCUAUGGCCACAGCUGGUAUCUCUGGACCUGAGCUGGUCUGGCUUCCAAGGACAGCGGGCCCUAGUGGAUGCCCUGGUCACCCUGCCUUGCCUGAGGACCUUGGUGCUGGAGGGCAACCCCCUUACCUUCACCCCUUCCUACCCAGGCUUCAUCCUGGACAGCCUCCCGAGGCUGCUCUACCUGGACGCCACACGGGUUACACCGGAUGAUCACCAUCGCUUUGAAGGCCUGGCCAAGAUGAGAGACCGGAUAGUGGACCAGGCCAUGGCAACAGUGACAGUGCGAAGGAUCAGGGGUGUCCCGAACCCACUGCUGACUGUGGAUGAGAGUGCCCCUGAGUUCCCUGUGGUCAGCUACAGCUACUUUGUCAACUAUGAGUUCCUCAGCCAACCACCCCCUGGCAACAAGGCAUGAUAUCCCAUUUUUCUGUUUAGUCAUUCAACUUAAUUGAUUGUCAUAUUACAAUCUAGUUAUUGAUUGGUCACAGCAGGCUGGCAGUGACACUGCAUCCACAUCUGAUCCAAUGACACCCAUGGCAGAGAAGAUGGAUGGGGGCAUCGUUGGCAUCUAUCAGACACCAAAAGAGAACUGUGAGGAGGAAACAACCAACACUCCAAUGCCAGACACCACAGCCAGGACAAUGGAGAGUUUGGAAACUAACCAUUGUUCCAUUGAUGUGAUAAUGAACAGCACACAUAAGCUGGCAUGGGCAGAGUCCAUGGACUAUGACCACACAAGUGUGCAUAGUGUUGGUGACCUGGGGUCCUUCAAGUCCUUUGUCCUUCGUGGGCUCUGGUUGACUGUGGAGGAGGAGAAGAUCCUCUCAUGGCCUGCCCCUUCAGGAGAACAGCCAAUAACCAAAUCUACAACAGAAAAGAAAGGGGGGAAAGAGGUGAUGUUACACAAUUUGUAAUCUCUCAUUCGAGAUUACACAAUUUAACAGUCCUUAUAGUCUGGUGAUGGAAGUGUUCUCAACCAUGUCAUUUUUUCAGAGAGGUUUAUAAUAUCACUUAACAGCUGAUAAACGUUUCCUUGUUAGUGACACCGUAUCACAUGCCAUAACCUGUUUUUCAGCAUAGUCAUGUACAAGGUCAUUGCUUCCUCAUAUACUUUAUGUGGCUGUUGCAUGUUUGUGGUUAACACAAUGGGAGAGGGAAAUUCAAUUCCAUGACACUCAAACAGGUCGAGUUACACUACAUCACAUUUUUGAAAUGGUUCCAAUCACUUACAAGCCACGGUAGUGUGAAAAAAUCUUUCAGAUACACUAUUAAAAAAGCAUAACCAUUAAUCUGACGAGAUCACGUCCAGUAAUCACAGAGUUACACAUGGAAUAAACAAACAUACAGUCAAUAACACAAUAGAGGAAAAAAUGUCUAUAAACAGUGUGUGCAAAUUAGGUAAGAUAAGGGAGGUAAGGCAAUAAAUACGCCAUAGUAGCGAAAUAAUUACAAUUUAGCAAUUAAACACUGGAGUGAUAGAUGUGCAGAAGAUGAAUGUGCAAGUAGAGAUACUGGGGUGCAAAGGAGCAAAAAAAUAAAUAACAGUAUGGGGAUGAGGUAGUUGGAUGGGCUAUUUACAGAUGGGAUAUGUACAGGUGCAGUGAUCUGUGAGAUGCUCUGACAGUUGGUGCUUAAAGUUAGUGAGGGAGAUAUGGGUCUCCAGCUUCAGUGAUUUUUGCAAUUCGUUUCAGUCAUUGGCAGCAGAGAACUGGAAGGAAAGGCUUUGGGGGUGACCAGUGAAAUAUACCUGCUGGAGCGCGUGCUACGGGUGGGUGUUGCUAUGGUGACCAGUGAGCUGAGAUAAGGCGGUGCUUUACCUAGAAAAGUCUUAUAGAUGACCUGGAGCCAGUGGGUUUGGCGACGAAUAUCUAGUGAGGACCAGCCAACGAGAGCAUACUGGUCGCAGUGGUGGGUAGUAUAUGGGGCUUUGGUGACAAAACGGAGGGCACUGUGAUAGACUACAUCCAGUUUGCUGACUAGAGUGUUGGAGGCUAUUUUGUAAAUUACAUCGCUGAAGUCAAGGAUCGGUAGGAUAGUCAGUUUUACCAUGGUAUGUUUGGCAGCAUGAGUGAAGGAUGCUUUGUUGUGAAAUAGGAAGCCGGUUCUAGAUUUAAUUUUGGAUUGGAGAUGCUUAAUGUGAGUCUGGAAGGAGAGUUUACAGUCUAACCAGACACCUAGGUAUUCGUAGUUGUCCACAUAUUUUAAGUCAGAACUGUCCAGAGUAGUGAUGCUGGACGGGCGGGCAGGUGCGGGCAGCAAUCGUUUGAAGAGCAUGCAUUUAGUUUUACUUGCAUUUAAGAGUUGUAUGGCAUUGAAGCUCGUCUGGAGGUUAGUUAACACAGUAUCCAAAGAAGGGCCAGAAGUACAGUCGUAUGAAAAAGUUUGGGCACCCCUGACAAUUUCCAUGAUUUCCAUUUAUAAAUAAUUGGGUGUUUGGAUCAGC